rnacentral:rRNA from 1 species
UACGUAGGGCGCAAGCGUUGUCCGGAAUUAUUGGGCGUAAAGAGCUCGUAGGCGGUUUGUCGCGUCUGCCGUGAAAGCCAGGGGCUUAACCUCGAGCUGUCGGCGGAAACCAUCUGGCUAGAGUCCGGAAGAGGAGAAUGGAAUUCCCGGUGUAGCGGUGAAAUGCGCAGAUAUCGGGAAGAACACCCGUGGCGAAGGCGGUUCUCUGGGACGGUACUGACGCUGAGGCACGAAAGCGUGGGGAGCAAACAGG